AUGAAUUCAGUCAGGGUCACACAGGGGGUAAGGCAUCCCGAUGCGUUGCUUGAGAGAGCCCUUGAAGUGUAUGGAAAUGAUUUGGAUGAUGCAAUAAAGAGUUUGAAGGACCUGCACCUGAUGGAGUCAAAUCAGGGUAACCUAUCGUCCACUGGUUCCACUUUUGAAAAUGGGCCGACAGCAGUUCAGCCAUCUGUUGAAGGUGUUGUUACCAGCGGAGGUGUGGACACAGCUACUGAACACCAACCUGCCACAGCUAGCCACCAGCCACGUAAUAGUGGCCCUAAAUGGGUCGAUCUUUUUGUGAGAGAGAUGUCAAAUGCUUCUGACAUGGGACAGCGCUCAAGCUUGUGCUUCAAGAGCUGUGGAAGCCUUGACGAAGUCUAUUCUGGAGGGUGCAGGAGCUGA
rnacentral:rRNA from 1 species